rnacentral:lncRNA from 1 species
UACACUGUAAACAAUUCCAACCCCAAAGGCAAAAUUAAACAAACAAACUAAAAGUUGCAUCAGUGUCAGCUCUUAAGGUAGUUUACAUAAAGGCCGAAGAGGGAGCGACAUUGUGCGGUGGUGUUGCAUAAUAGCCAGGAGAUGAAUUGCUGACCUAUGCCUCCAACUCAUCCUCCUCUUCGUCUCCUUUGGUUGCUUCCUAGCCUUGAAAAGGAGGGAGUUCGAAAAGGGAUUGAUGAUGAUGGUGUUGGAGAUGAAAAACCUGCCCAAAAAAACCAACAAAAUAAUGGAAAAAAACCCCACCAAAACAGGUGAAAAUGGAGAAUGAAACCAUACAAAUGCCCAAAAGAAAAGAAAAAAAAAAAAAGGAAAAAUCACAAAGUAAUGUGAAAAUGGAGAGUAAUGUCAUAUCAAUGCCAUAAAUAAGGGGAAAGUAAUGAAGGCAACUACUAUAUAAACAGGGAAAAGGGCAAAAAAAGUAGUAUACGUUGAAAUUAAGGAAAAAAAAAAAACAAAUCCUCUGAAAAAACCUAGUAAAAUAAGGGAAUGGGAAGGGUGGAAAGAGAUAUGGCAGGGGAAAAAAGAGAAGCUGUAGCAGAAAAAAAAAGACAACCCCGAACUCACUCCAUAAUGACAGAAAAUGGAGAAAAUAAAUCAAAAUUAAUAAAAACAAAAAGAUGAAAACAAAAGCAAGACAAAAACGGGAGAAACUGAUGAAAAUGAAAAAAAUGUGAGGAGAGAGACCAACUGGGGGUGCUUGGAGGGGUGGAAUCGCGAGCCAUGGAUGAUCACAGGACAACCAGAGUAGAGAGAGAGAAAGAUGAGUAGGGGCUUUGAGCUUUUAGACGGGAAAAGGGUUUGGCGGUAAAAUGCACGUUUUUC